CGAAACACUGGUUCCCGUAGAAGUUAAGCAAUAUCGAUCCUGGUCAGUACCUAGAUGGGUGACCGCUUGGGAAUAUCUGGUGCUGUAAG